rnacentral:rRNA from 1 species
ACGCUCGACACCUACGAGAGGCAGCAGUGGGGAAUAUUGCACAAUGGGGGAAACCCUGAUGCAGCGACGCCGCGUGAGCGAAGAAGUAUUUCGGUAUGUAAAGCUCUAUCAGCAGGGAAGAAACUGACGGUACCUGACUAAGAAGCACCGGCUAAAUACGUGCCAGCAGCCGCGGUAAUCUGAGCGGGCUGGCAAGGC